UACGUAGGGACCAAGCGUUGUUCGGAUUUACUGGGCGUAAAGGGCGCGUAGGCGGCGCGGUAAGUCACUUGUGAAAUCUCUGAGCUUAACUCAGAACGGCCAAGUGAUACUGCAGUGCUAGAGUGUGGAAGGGGCAAUCGGAAUUCUUGGUGUAGCGGUGAAAUGCGUAGAUAUCGAGAGGAACACCUGCGGCGAAGGCGGGUAGCUGGGCCGACACUGACGCUGAGGCGCGAAAGCCAGGGGAGCGAACGGG
rnacentral:rRNA from 1 species